CAGAAAAACAACCAAUCAGAAAAAAGUUAGGUACUAUAAAACCCCCUUCCCAUUGCAUCAUUUCCUCUUUCAAGCUGCGACAAAACAGAACAAAGGCAGAAAAAAUAAUGGGAAGCAACGAAGUCCAGAUACGAUGAAUACAGCAAUGUCCAAUGUCUGAGAAGAACUGUCAACCGGAUAGCGUUGAUGGACUGAAAAUAAGUCAAUGUCCACCAUCCACGAAGAAGUGCCACACCAGAUAGUGCUGAAGGACUGGAAACUGAAACGAGAGAAAAACAGAAUCGAACAG